rnacentral:piRNA from 1 species
AGUUUAUUAAGGAAGAAAGCAUCUCGGGG